GAGGACUCUUCAAUUUCUUUAUUUGUGAAACAGGACUACUGAGGCCACGGUGAGGAUUUAGUGAGGCGUGUAUGGCAGUGUCUGCCGCAUGGAAGAAGCUGUAACAUCGAGGAAGAAGAACAGGCUUGUUACUGAUCGAAAGGCUCAGCCACAUAUCCAGGUAGAUCUGACAGCUGAGGGUGCGAGACACACACUGUACUCUGGAAUGGACUUUGAAGCCACCUGGUCCAGUGUCCUUGGACAGGUCCUUUCAGCUUUCUGGGCUCAGUGUCCCAUCUGUAAAAUGAAGGACUUCGACCCACAGCCCAGUGAUCAUGGCUGUGGGAGGUGCCACAGUCCGAGGCCAGUGAGCUGACAAAGCAGUAGAAGAGUGCAGACGACCCUGGCUGGAAGUUGUCACAUGCACCCUGGCCCUGGCCCUGCAAACUGCAGGGACGAACCAGAGGCCUCACCAGGCAGUGAGGACGAGCCCAAGGCAGAGAUGCUGAUGAAGUGCCAUGGAAUGUGGAGGGGGUGGCCUGUGCCAGUACCAAUGUGGCCAUGUUUGGAGUGGAGAAAGACUCUACCAGGCGCUGGAUCUUAAGGGCUCCUGUGAAUUUUGGAUAUCUGACAGUAUCUGGUUCUGUCUGCGAUGCCCAUCUUGGUGCUGCCUCCAUCUCUGCUGCCUAGAUGCCGAUCUGCAACCUGACUGGUCUUCCUGUUGUGAAACCCCCUAGUCCUGAGCCCGCACAGCAGGCAAGAAGAAGCAUCCUCAGAGGCUGCCACACCCCACACUGCACUGCACAAAGUCCUGCUCCAGGGGCUUCCCUUGAUAUUGGAGCCACGUCUCCGAGCUGCCCUGGUCUGACUCUACCUGCUUCUCACCUCCUCCUGCAAAUCCACACCUUCCCCAGCCCUGGCCUCUGGGGCCCGGAACUGCCCAGCUCCUGUCUGGAGACACCCUGCCCUUCCCUCGGUUGUCUGCAGGGCUGGUUCCUCCUCACCCUGGCUAUGUGGGUCUCCCGGAGGGUCUUGCCCUCUGCCCUGUCAGAGCACUGGCCCCAUUUGGCAGUCAUCUUGUCCUUGCACUUGCUGCCUGUCUGCCCGUUCUCCAGCUGUUCCUACAGCCCAGCCCAACACCCACCCUUGGCCAACAUCUGUCCCUGCAGUGGGAACCAGCACCCUCUCCUCUCCCCCGUUCCAUGGGUAACCUGUGCAUUGUCUUGUCAUUUAUCAAACCUCUAAUAAGCAGGGGUAUUUUUAGAACAGGUGAAAGCAACACUCUAACCUCUCAGAGGAUUUUCCACUCCCACCUGCCUUUCUACUACAAUUUGGUUUCCUGUGGUGGUUGCCCAGGCUGCCACACUAGUCAGCUUUGUUAUUCUGGGGCACAGAGAGGGACCUCAAAAGAAAACCAAGCUCCCCUUCUUCCUCCCUGGCUGGAGAGAGAAACAAGGUACUUAGUUCCAGCCCCUGGCAGACAGAGGGAAGUCUGGGAUGAAGCCUUAGGCUCUUCACUUGCUAUGUUACUCUAGGCUGGUCACUUUCCAUCUCUGAGCUUCAGUCACCCAUCUGUUAGAGGAGGGGCUUGGAAGGUAAAUGAUUAAAGGCCUCUGACAGCCAAGAUUUGCAUGGACCCAUGAGCUAAUGGAUCUUUUACAUCCCUGGGCAUCAAUCGAAUGAGUCUCACUUCUUUCUAUGAAUGAAAUGUAGUUGGUGCCUCAUCUGGUGCACAUGCAAAUAAAUGCAAAUUAAUGUAAAAUAAAGGACUCCAGAAAUGCUCUUUCACAGGACCAA